AGACGGUAGCCAAGGAGGAAGCCCCGGCUAACUACGUGCCAGCAGCCGCGGUAAUACGUAGGGGGCAAGCGUUGUCCGGAAUGAUUGGGCGUAAAGGGCGCGUAGGCGGCCUGGUAAGUCUGAAGUGAAAGUCCUGGCUUUAAGUUGGGAAUUGCUUUGGAUACUGUCGGGCUUGAGUGCAGGAGAGGUCAGUGGAAUUCCCAGUGUAGCGGUGAAAUGCGUAGAGAUUGGGAGGAACACCAGUGGCGAAGGCGACUGACUGGACUGUAACUGACGCUGAGGCGCGAAAGUGUGGGGAGCAAACAGGAUUAGAUACCCUG
rnacentral:rRNA from 1 species